rnacentral:rRNA from 1 species
CGCCAGACUCCUACGGGAGGCAGCAGUGGGGAAUAUUGCACAAUGGGGGAAACCCUGAUGCAGCAACGCCGCGUGAGUGAAGAAGUAUUUCGGUAUGUAAAGCUCUAUCAGCAGGGAAGAAGGAAGACGGUACCUGACUAAGAAGCCCCGGCUAACUACGUGCCAGCAGCCGCGGUAAUACGUAGGGGGCGAGCGUUAUCCGGAUUUACUGGGUGUAAAGGGAGCGUAGACGGUUAAUCAAGUCUGAAGUGAAAGCCCGCGGCUCAACUGCGGAACGGCUUUGGAAACUGAGUAACUAGAGUGCUGGAGGGGCAGGCGGAAUUCCUGGUGUAGCGGUGAAAUGCGUAGAUAUAAGGAAGAACACCAGUGGCGAAGGCGGAUUACUGGACGAUAACUGACGGUGAGGCGCGAAAGCGUGGGGAGCAAACAGGAUUAGAUACCCCGGUAUA